rfam:Helianthus annuus unplaced genomic scaffold HanXRQChr00c1121, whole genome shotgun sequence.
UCCCUGGUUGAUCCUGCCAGUAGUCAUAUGCUUGUCUCAAAGACUUAAGCCAUGCAUGUGUAGUAGAACAAAUUCAGACUGUGAAACUGCGAAUGGCUCUUAAAUCAGUUAUAGUUUGUUGAUGGUAUCUUGCUACUCGGCCGUAGUAAUUCUAGAGCUAAUACGUGCAACAAACCCCGACUUCUGGAAGGGAUGCAUUUAUUAGAUAAAAGGUCGCGCGGCUUUGCCCGUUGCUGCGAUGAUUCAUGAAACUCGACGGAUCGCACGGCCCUUGUGCGGCGACGCAUCAUUCAAAUUUCUGCCCUAUCAACUUUCGAUGCGGAUAGUGGCCUACUAUGGUGGUGACGGGUGACGGAGAAUUAGGGUUCGAUUCCGGAGAGGAGCCUGAGAAACGGCUACCACAUCCAAGGAAGGCAGCAGGCGCGCAUUACCCAAUCCUGACACGGGGAGUAGUGACAUAAUACAAUACCGGGCUCAUACGAGUCUGGUAAUUGGAAUGAGUACAAUCUAAAUCCCUUACAGGAUCAUUGGAUGGCAAGUCUGGUGCCAGCAGCCGCGUUAAUUCCAGCUCCAAUAGCGUAUAUUUAAGUUGUUGCAGUUAAAAAGCUCGUAGUUGGGAUUUGGGUUGGGUCGCCGGUCCGCCAUCAGGUGUGCACCGGUUUACUCGUCCUCUUCGGCGAUCGCCUCCUACCCUUUAACUGGGCGGGUCGUUGCCUCCGGCGUUGUUACUUGAGAACUUAGAGUGCUCAAAAGCAAGCCUACGCUCUGUAUCAUAGCAUGGGUAAAAUCAUAGGAUUUCGGUUAACGUAUGGCCUUCGGGUCGGGAUCUGAUUAACGGGACAGUCGGGGCUUCGUAUUUCAUAGUCAGAGGUGAAUUCUUGGAUUUAUGAAAGACGAACAACUGCGAAGCAUUUGCCAAGGAUGUUUUCAUUAUCAAGAACGAAAGUUGGGGGCUCGAAGACGAUCAGAUUACCGUCCUAGUCUCACCAUAAACGAUGCCCGACAGGAUCAGGGAUGCUGCUUUUAGACUUCGCGGACUUAUGAGAAUCAGUUUUGGGUUCCGGGGGAGUUGGUGCAGGCUGAACACUUAUAAAGGAAUUGCGAAGGGCACCACAGGCGUUGAGCCUGCGGCCUUAUUGACUUCCACGGGAAAUUCACCAGUCCAGCAUAGUAAGGUUGACAGACUGGAGCUUUUUUUUUCUUGAUAUUAUGGGUAGGUGGUGCUGGCCUUCUUAGUUGGUGAGCAUUUGUCUGGUUUAAUUCCGUUAACGAACGAGCCCUCAGCCUGCUAACUAAGCUAUGUGGAGGUAUCCCUCCAUGGCCAGCUUCUUAGAGGACUAUGGCCUUUAGGCCACGGAAGUUUGAGGCAUAACAGGUCGUUGUGAUGCCCUUAGAUGUUUCUGGGCCGCACGCGCGCUACACUGAUGUAUCAACGAGUAUAUAGCCUUGGCCGACAGGCCCGGGAAAUCUUUGAAAAUUUCAUCGUGAUGGAUUGAUCAUAUGCAAUUGUUGCUCUUAAACGAGGAAUUCCUAGUAAGCGCGAGUCAUCAGCUCGCGUUGACUACGUCCCUGCCCUUUGUACACACCGCCCGUCGCUCCUACCGAUUUGGAAUGGUCCGGGAAGUGUUUAGGAUCGUGGCGACGUGGGGCGGUUCGCUGCCCGCGACGUCGCGAAGAAUUCCACUGAACCUUAUCAUUUAGAGGAAGGAAGAAGAGAAAGUCGUAACAAGGUUUCCGUAGGUGAACCUGCGGAAGGAUAUGUC